rnacentral:rRNA from 1 species
UACCAGCACCCCGAGUGGUCGGGACGUUUAUUGGGCCUAAAGCAUCCGUAGCCGGUUCUACAAGUCUUCCGUUAAAUCCAGCUGCUUAACAGAUGGGCUGCGGAAGAUACUAUGGAGCUAGGAGGCGGGAGAGGCAAGCGGUACUCGAUGGGUAGGGGUAAAAUCCGUCGAUCCAUUGAAGACCACCAGUGGCGAAGGCGGCUUGCCAGAACGCGCUCGACGGUGAGGGAUGAAAGCUGGGGGAGCAAACCGG